rnacentral:misc_RNA from 1 species
GUGAGUCAUCGAAUCUUUGAACGCACAUUGCGCCCCUUGGUAUUCCGAGGGGCAUGCCUGUUCGAGCGUCAUUAAAUACCAACAAGCCUAGCUUGGUCUUGAGUUCGCCCUUUCGCGUUCUCCAAAAUUAGUGGCGGCGUCUCUAGCACCCUAAGCGUAGUAAUCUUCUCGCUUUUGGGAUGCUACAGAGGCUUGCCAUAACCCCAACUUUUUAAGUUUGACCUCGGAUCAGGUAGGGAUACCCGCUGAACUUAAGCAUAUCAAUAAGCGGAGGA